rnacentral:rRNA from 1 species
GACGAACGCUGGCGGCGUGCUUAACACAUGCAAGUCGAACGGAAAGGCCCUGCUUUUGUGGGGUUCUCGAGUGGCGAACGGGUGAGUAACACGUGAGUAACCUGCCCUUGACUUUGGGAUAACUUCAGGAAACUGGGGCUAAUACCGGAUAGGAGCUCCUGCUGCAUGUUGGGGGUUGGAAAGUUUCGGCGGUUGGGGAUGGACUCGCGGCUUAUCGGCUUGUUGGUGGGGUAGUGGCUUACCAAGGCUUUGACGGGUAGCCGGCCUGAGAGGGUGACCGGCCACAUUGGGACUGAGAGACGGCCCAGACUCCUACGGGAGGCAGCAGUGGGGAAUAUUGCACAAUGGGCGGAAGCCUGAUGCAGCAACGCCGCGUGCGGGAUGACGGCCUUCGGGUUGUAAACCGCUUUCGCCUGUGACGAAGCGUGAGUGACGGUAAUGGGUAAAGAAGCACCGGCUAACUACGUG